CUACAAGCGAGGUAAGGGGUGUGUAAAUAAUAGUGGUAUAUACGUAAGUAGUGGGGAAACAGGAGGGAAUUGCAGUCCUGUUGCAUAAAUAGUGCAGGUAGACUUACGAAUAUUAAUUAACCCUCCAUGUUGUUUGACAUGUGAUCAGUGUAAGCCCAAUAUCUGGACAGACAUCAAAACAGCAGAGGGGACAACCCUGUCCUAAAUUGAACCUGCUCAUUUGCAUUAAAUCAGUAUUCUUUAGCAAUAACUGCAAAAAGAGUUAAGUAUACUAUCCUAAUGAUGAUAGACAGGCAGCCAUGUCCCUUCGGUGUCCCAUUAACUAACACAAGGUACAAAACAGGCUGUUAGUUUCUCCACUAAAGAGAAUGUGCUAUAAAUGGCAAAUUCAUUUAACUUGUUUUAUUGCAUUUUUGGGCUCUUUGUUGUGGUUUAGCUAGCUCAGGGGUCUCCAACAUUUUCUGACAUUAGAGCUACUUUUAAAAAUGUUGCGAGAUACAAAUUUAUUUGUAUUUCCUUUCUAUCCUUUUCUGUUUCACUCUCAAAAUUAUAAUAACUUAUGGAGGACCCACAAAAUUGGAUGUUUAGAGUCCAUGCCAAUAUAUAAAUCACAUCAGUAUACAAUUUUUGAGGUUUUGACAAAAAAUAACUAAUAUAAAUGUUUGUGUGUGCACCUAGCAAGAGAGGAAUGUGUUUGGCUAGCGACGUUGCUGUAGGCCUACUGCACAUCAUUGCAGAGUUUGCAAAUCAAAUGCCCACCCAGUUGAUAAAAAUAAUCAUGACAUCAUUGUGGGAAAGUCAAAAGAAAACAGCCAAGACCUCAGAAAAAAUUGUAGACCUCCACUUGUCUGGUUCAUCCUUGGGAGCAAUUUCCAAAUGCCUGAAGGUACCACGUUCAGCUAUACAGACAAUAGCACGCAAGUAUAAACACCAUGGGUGUCACGAUCGUCGUAUGAAGGAGACCAAGGCACAGCGUGGUAUGCAUACAUUCUUAUUUAUUUCAAGAAUGAAACACUGAACAAACUAACUAAAUAACUAAACGAACCGUGAAGCUAUACAAACGAGUGCUGAAAGGCAACUACUCAUAGACAAGAUCCCACAAACACCAAAGGGAAAUGGCUACCUAAAUAUGACCCCAAUCAGAGACAACAAUAAACAGCUGCCUCUGAUUGGGAACCAUAUCAGGCCACCAUAGACAUAUAAAUCACCUAGACCUACAAAGACCCCUAGACAAUACAAAAAC
ensembl:lncRNA